UUAUAAUAGUGAUAUAAGAAACAACAACAAAAAUUUAAACAAAAAAAUCAGUGAUUUAAAAUAAAAUUAUUUUAGUUGUGAACUCUAAAAGCUAAAAAAUUAAAUUAACUUAGAAUUUUAAAUAAUUUAAUAAAACAAAAAAUAAAUUCAACAAAAUGUUACACGAAGCAUUGAUGUUAGAAAUCUACAGACAAGCAUUAAAUGCUGGUGCUCUUCCCAAUCCACGUCCCCGAUCAACUGAAUCGGCAAAUUCCAGUGAACGUUGCCCGUCGCACGAUUCAACGUCAUCCGCCGAAAAUGGCAGUGCCAGUGGCAAUGCCUCCAAUAUGCAUCCAAUUUCCCCAAACUCUGCAUUUCCAACAAUGAUUCCACCCUCGCCAAAUAGCAAUUCAUCAUCCCACCAUCAUCAUCACCUGCAGCAACAACAACACCACCAUCAGCAGCAACAACAACAACACCACCAGCAACAACAUCAUCAUCAACAACCACCACCGUCCAUGGAAGCAUACCUGCAUAUGGUUGCAGCUGCAGCUCAACAAUACGCCCAAUUUCCACUUGUCGGUGGUGGCCGAAUGCCAAUGCCAAUACCACCAGCAGCCACAGCUGAUCCACACUUUAAGCUGCCACCACAAGCAUCGCCAACUGCAUCCAGCAUCAAAUCCGAAGCAUUGGACUUUCGAACAAACUUCAAGCGAUCCUCAUCGGAUGAUGAAGAAGAUGAAGUAGAUGAUCCGGAAGAAAUGGAAGAUAUCCAAGAAGAUGGUAAUCCACUUGAUUUGUCAACCAGCUCGCGCAAACGAAGUGCCGAUGAAGAUCAAGAUUCACCCGCUCAAAUUGCACAUCAAACCAAAAAGUUGUACAAAGGUACACCACCGCCAACAACGCCACCAGCACCAGUUACACCAUCAUCAGCUCCUUUAAUGCCAACCGUUAAUCCAUACCUUGCAGCUGUUGCGGCAGCAAACAUAUUCCAAAACGGUCCAUUCCCGUCGGGUGGCUGGAAUGGCAAGAAUGACUUGGUCAUUGAUCCAACAAGUUGCUUGGAAAAAAUGACGGAUCUCGUGAAGGGACCUCGCAAAGAGAAAUCUCCCCGCCAACAAACUCCAGUGCCACCAGCUCCACCAGCAGCUGCUCCCAUUCCAUCAGGUGAAGGUGUAAUGGCUUCGAAAGGGCGACACAAUAUAUGGCAGUCGCAUUGGCAGAAUAAAGGCGUCGCAAGUAGUGUGUUCCGUUGCGUUUGGUGCAAACAAAGUUUUGCAACUCUCGAGGCCCUUACAACCCACAUGAAAGACAGCAAACAUUGUGGCGUCAAUGUUCCUCCUUUCAGCAAUCUUCCAAAUACUGAACGGCCCCCGCAACAGCCUCAGAUGCAAAAUCAUCAGCAAAUGCGAAAGCCUUCUUCGCAACAACCAAUGCAAUCUAAGUCGAACUAUAGUAAUUAUUCAAACCGGGAUCCCAACACUCCAUUGCCAAGAAAACUCGUCCGAGGGCAGAACGUCUGGCUGGGUAAAGGCGUCGAGCAAGCUAUGCAGAUUCUCAAGUGCAUGCGAUGCGGGGAGAGCUUCCGAUCACUGGGCGAGAUGACCAAACACAUGCAGGAAACUCAGCAUUAUACGAAUAUUUUGUCCCAGGAACAAACAAUUUCCAUGAAGUCUUCGGGAAAUAAUCUCGGGGGAGAUGGAAAAGAUGCCAUGAGUUCGGAGGAAAGUCGCACUUUGAGUGCAGUACUAACCUGCAAAGUUUGCGAUAAAGCAUUCUCAUCUCUGGGAGACCUUAGCAAUCAUAUGGCCAAAAACAAUCACUACGCUGAACCUCUGAUGCAAUCUAUGUCUGGAGCUGGAGCUGCAGGACGCAAGCGUCAAGUUCAGAAGAAACGUGAAAAGUCUCUGCCAGUUCGGAAACUGCUCGAAAUGAAAGGUGCAGCUGCCGCACAUGCUGAUGCAGUUGAUGCCAUGGAGGCCAAGAUGAACCGAAAUGAAAAAAUGGAAGCUGCGAUGUUUGCCGAACGCAUGCGCCAGUACAUUUGUGGGGUUAAAGCCGAAACAGGCGCUGAAGAGAUCAAUAAGUCCCCAAUCAUGCUGAAAAAGUCCCCGGAGCAAGAGGUCAAGAACGGUACAGCAAAGCCGGGCUCAUCAUCUGUCCUCAGUGCAAUUGAACAGAUGUUCACUACAAGCUUUGACACUCCCACACGCCAUAAUAACGCUCCACAACCAGUGAAUGCAACCAACAAGAAUACAUCGCCAGUUGCAUCGAGCAUCCUUAAACGUCUGGGAAUUGAUGAAACCGUCGAUUAUAACAAACCUCUUAUGGACAUUCAAGAUCCCUACUAUCACCAUUAUGCUCGCUAUACCAGCAGCGAACGCAGCGCCAGUGAGUGCAGCGCCGACAACCAUGAAGUUCCCAAAGCCAAAGCUCGAUCUGAAACUCCGGAAAAGCCAGAGCCGAAUCUUCUUCCGAUCAAAAAAGAAGAACCGGAAGAGAAGGAGAACUCCGAAGAAGAAGACAGACAUGAAGAGAAGCCCAAAAUUCCAUCACAAGCUUCGACUCCAAAUGGAGAGCUUAAUCUAUCGACCACCGAUAGAAAUCAUGAAGCUAGUCCUAAGGCAGCUGCUAGUCCAGAAAGCAAUCGAUCUGGAACACCAAAAUCUCCAGCCUCUAGCCAGAAGUCAUUCGGCGGUGAUGGUGAGAAGAAAUAUCCAAGUGACAGCUUAAACGCUCUAUCCUCGAUGUUUGAUUCGUUGAGCAGUGUCGGAAGUGGUCGAUCCCAACAGCAGCAACAACAACAACAACAACAACAACAACAGCAACAAAUUGUCAAAUCUGAGGAAUCACUAUCGGCGGCUUCAAACUCUUUGGCCGCCCUCCGACAAUUCUGCGAUCAAAAAGAGAAAACCGCAUAAAAUUUCGACAAAUCAUUCAAACCAUCAAUAACGUCGACAUCGCUACGGUCGAUAAGUUUAGCUUUGGAAUCCGGUCGCCAUAUCGGCGACCGCAGUAAAGACUCGUUGCCAGAGUCUAAAGAUGCUACGGAACGGGCCAUCACAAAUCGGUGUAAUGCGGUCGCCGGAUUGGCAGCCGGGCAUCAUAAUAUUAAUCAUCGCUAUCGCCUUCGUCAUCGUAAAAGCAGCAGCAUCAUUGACCAACAUCAACAAGAAGAGGUGAUGAUGCAUCAGCCAAACGAAUUGGGACGGCGAAAGCGACCGGGCUGAUUUGAGGAGCGGUAGAGAAAAGUUUAAAAAAACAAAAUAAUAACAAAAAAAAAAAAAACAUAAGCAACUUCGCCGCACGGGAACAAAUUCAAUGAGGAAUCUUCCUAGAAAUUCGCCUGAUAUUGAGAUACAAGCACAAAUUCUUACAAAAUAACAAAAAAAACAAAUUACUAUGAACUGGAUCUUUGAAAACCCAAAACAUAAACCGAAAAAAACUACUUUCACAAUAAAUCUUUUUGAUGAAAAUGAAGAACUUCAAGCCAAGACGAUGUGUUGAAUUCCUGAACCAAUGGAUCUUACGAAUGUAUGGAACUUUAUGGAUUCUUGGAGAAACAACCAAAAUUGAAGUCAACUUUGGGCUGCUGAAGAAGAAACAACAUGAUGCAGCCUCAGCCCUUUUUAGGGCUCCAAAUGCUUCAUUAAAGAGAUACAAACUUAAAUUACACUAAA